CUUGGCUUCACCCCUAAUAGCAAUAUUCUUAAAAAGAGCUCUGCAGUCUUCACCAGACAGCUAAUAGGUGCCGUGGGAUCAGUCAUUUGAUUGUCCUUUGUUCUCAAAGAGGACAGUGACAUCAGGGAGUUGAAGCCUCAAAGCAAGCAGGAGACUGACCUUCAGACUGGGAAGGAAAGAACAAUGUGCAGAGGAGGACCCAAGAUAAGGAAACCCAAGGUAAAGGUAGAGAUUGUGCUGCUCGCUGCUCGUGCUCCUGGAGCAGGAUGUGAAGCCCUCAAGGGCAGGGCCUGCCUCCUUUGGAUCUCAGGAGCCCAGUGCGAGAAGGAAGGAAACACGCAUUUACUUAGUGCCUACUGUACGUCAAGAGCUGCUAAGUGCUUCACAACCUUUUGUUAUUUGAUCCUCACAAUAACCCU